CAGCUGAUAGGCUGCAGCAAUUACCAGUCAAAAGCUAACCUCAAACUGAAGCAUAAAGUAUGAUGCACAGGCCUCUGGUAGUCAACUCCUGUACUUUUUAUAAACCGCGCUGUGCGCACAUGCACUAUAGGAGUGGAGUUUGCCAAAGGCUGUCAUUGCAUUGUUUGUACAAUUCUUUGUGGCAAUUGUCAUUGUAUGUAACCAAAGUCAUUGUCAUCUUUAUUCAACCAGCCUGGUCACCUUUGUCACUUUAGCCACUAUUUGGCCAUAAAGGCCAUCAGGGUAGGCUUUAUUUGGUUGUCUACCUGUUGUAUUAGACCGGUAUCUGCCUUGCGCUGCAGUCUUGACGCUGCGGAAGAGAGUCAUGCUCAUUUACCUCAUGCUUCAUGGCUCUGUUAGCUGCAUUUAGAAGCAAGGCAGAUCGAGUUUUUGUGACUCAAGGAUCUUAAUGUGAGAGGAGGCAGCCAGCCUGAGUGUGUUUACAUUAACCCUUUAAUGGUCAAGUCGCUCUAUUGGUUUCUGCAC